rnacentral:rRNA from 1 species
UACAUGAAGUUGGAAUUGCUAGUAAUCGCGGAUCAGCAUGCCGCGGUGAAUACGUUCCCGGGCCUUGUACACACCGCCCGUCACACCAUGGGAGUUUGUAACACCCGAAGUCAGUGUCCCAACCGCAAGGAGGGAGCUGCCGAAGGUGGGAUAAGCGACUGGGGUGAAGUCGUAACAAGGUACC